rnacentral:tRNA from 1 species
GUUUCUAUAAUUUAAUAAAAAUAUUGGUCUUGUAAACCAAAAAUAAGAUUUACUUUAGAAACA